rnacentral:lncRNA from 1 species
UUGGAAAUUAUUCAAAAGUCUAAAGCUGUUUAUAUAUAUAUAUAUAUAUAUUUUUUUUUUCUUCCAGGAAAUGUUUCAAUAUCUUUAGCUUGAAGCAGCAUUUGGAGACCAAGUUUUGCUGGUGGUAAAACAUAAACAACAAUGCAGAAAGAGAAACAAAACAUGUGUUUGCUCAACUCUAGCGAUGCAGUGCCGAGGCAUGCCUGCAGACUUCUUGUACAGUGCAGAAUCUCUCAGCUGCACGAUGACACCUUCCCCAGCUCCUAUCCUAGAAUUUUGGGCAUCAACUCUCAUGCUCAGUUAUGUAUUUUCACAAGCAGCAUCAGAGUAGCAGACAGCAGGAAAGCUGAAAAUACUAGAAAUUCAAGAAAACUACUGUUGCAUUCUGUUUCUGUGUCAUCACUGGGCGUAGAAAAUGGUGUGUAUUACUAUGCCCUAUGUAUAUCUUCAUUAUCUUUGCCA